rnacentral:lncRNA from 1 species
GGAGGAGGAGGAGGAUGUGGUCAAAAGCUCUGACAGCAUUACUUCCCUCCCUGGGGAGAAAAAGGAAGCUGUUCUGUUUCGUCUCACCCAGCUGUCUGAUGGAGCACUUCCAACGGCUGUGGGGGACCCUGCAACAGGCCCUGGAUUAUGUUUCCUCCUUCACCACCUACCUCCUUGGAGAUGAAACACAUCCAGGAGCAGAAGCAUCAGGGGCUACAAGGGAAAGGAGAAACUAUAGCGGCCACCAUAGUGGUGAAGUGGAGUCAACNUGCUAUGGAAACAUUUCCUCAAGGGGACACCUGGGGGUCCUCGAAGAUCCCUGCACGGCAGAGAUAAACCCAGCCAGAGAGCAGAUGCAGGUGGCAUCGGAACCAGCAGACGAUAGCGCUCNUCCUGCAAGGGACGUUCUCAAAUCUUCCAAACUGCCUGAUAAAUGUGAGGGAUGGGAAGAGCAUGAGCAGAAACUCUCAGAGUCCUCCCAGUUUCCAGCUGAUGCCUCAAAGACAAAACCCACAGCAACUGGAAUUUGUGGCACUCNGCAAGAUCACCUAGAAGAGCCAAGGAUGAUUGAGGGACUCCAUCAGCGGGAGCCAGAAGGACUCAGCUGGAAGGGGAGAACACAGCAUGAGGGGGUGGAAGAUACAGGAUGCGACCUUCCCUGGGAACCAGGCAGGCAAGGAGACAGGGAACUGGCUGGCAUUAUAGGGAGCCAAGGGGAGCAAAAGAAGAAAGAGGAAAUUGUGCGCAAGGAGGAUAUCCAAGAGCAGGCAGAAGAAGGGGUAUGGUUUGCAGAAGAACAGCAAAGAGAGCUGGAGCGGGUCAAAUAUAAUGAAGGAUUUCAGCCUGUGGGCCUGGAGAAAGAGGUAAAGAUGGUGAACCACCACAAGAUAAAGGCUGAAAGGGAGCAGCAAGAUGAAAUAGGAAACCAGCAGGGGCAGCAAGAUAUGGCAGGNGCAGAGGGGGUUCUUCAAGGAAAACCAGAGU